rnacentral:rRNA from 1 species
UACAGAGGGUGCAAGCGUUAUCCGGAUUCACUGGGUUUAAAGGGUGCGUAGGCGGGUAAGUAAGUCCGUGGUGAAAUCUCUGAGCUUAACUCAGAAACUGCCGUGGAUACUAUUUGCCUUGAAUAUUGUGGAGGUGAGCGGAAUAUGUCAUGUAGCGGUGAAAUGCUUAGAUAUGACAUAGAACACCAAUUGCGAAGGCAGCUCACUACACAAUCAUUGACGCUGAGGCACGAAAGCGUGGGGAUCAAACAGG